rnacentral:lncRNA from 1 species
CAGAACAAAACUCUCAGACUCGUUAGUCAUUUUUCUCUGCCCUUUAACCCUAAUUGCGCUCUCUCUCUCUCUCGGUCUCUGUCUCACACGCGAUCGGUCCUGCAGUAGCAAGGAAUAACACUGAAUCUGAGCCAACUGAGACGUAUAUUUGUGAGUACUGCAUCAAUUUCUUCUCCUUGUGUGUAUAAUCGGUGCCACAGUGGCAAUGAAUCACGCUAAAUCUGAGCCAACUUCGUUUAGCUUGAUCUAGCUGAGAAACUUGAGUUCUUGCUAGAUUCUUGCUUUUCUGUAGAUUUGUUUGUUACUUUUUGUAGUUUUACUUAAGAUUUUUUUUCCCCUUUUCCCUGUUCGAGAUGUGAAAAUUUUGUUGGGUUACUCCUUAAUUACUUCGAUCUGCUUCAAAAGCUACAGAUCUUGCUCGACGCAUUUUUUUCGGUUUCUGCUGUCUUCGACUAUAUUCGAGUUCUAGAUGUCGUUUGUAGCGUAGUUCUAGCAUAUUUCUGGCUGGUUUUUUUUCAGCCUAGGUUGAUCAAGCUGAAAAACUUCAGUUUUUGCUACUUUUUUGAAUUUAUGUGGAUUUGUUUGUUAGUUUCUUCACUUUUAUUUAACUUCUUUUUGCUUCUCCCUGUAUGAUAUGUGAAAGUUUUGUUGGGUUAUUCUUCAUUUAUCCCGAUUUAUUCCAGAAGCUUUAGUUCUUGCUUGAUAUGUCGGUUUUCUUUCGAUUGGAAAUUGUUUAUUUGUGAUGGGUUAAUUUGGAAUUUCAUCCAUUUACUUAUAUUUACUGAUAUAUUUUAUGGUUUAUUGCAGCUAUUGAACCAAUUACUCCGUACCGAUUGUGAUUAUUCUUGGUAAGACAGCCGAAUAUGGUGUUUGAAACUCAUUCUAUAGAAGCUUACACUUAAGUUUUAUGUUAGCUCAUGGGUACUAACAGAUUUCUGCAUGCUUAUUGUUCAAUUCAGGCUUGGGAUUUCUCAGGAGGCCACUUGCUAUUGUAGCUGCCUUAUUGACAGCUCUAAACAUUGCUUUUCUGAAUAAUAGGUGCAUUUCUAUCUUAAUAUUUAUAUGUGAUGCUUUUUGAAUCAAAUCCGCAAGUAUAAUCAUUAAUCACUUAAUCUUACUAAUUUUGCGAUUUAGACUAUCAUUUUUCAUAGUUGGUCAAUCGUGUGGUGCCUAUCAUUUUGAGAAUUUACUGAUAAACUAAUAUAGUAACAUAAACUGGAGAUAUGUUGAUUCAUGAGCUUUAUGCUCUGUUUUUAUCUUCUAGGGCAAGCAGUUUGUAUCAUAGCUGAUUUAUAAUUUUCUCUAUGUGUUGGAGGCAAUAAUUGGUUAUUUUGAGUGAACUGUUCCGCCCACUAAUCUCUAAUCACUGGGAUAUUUGAAGAUUCAGUAGUAGUUUAAUAGCUUAUAAUGAAAUGUUUGGAUAUGGCAAAUAAAUAUUUCAUUUACUUAGGAAAUUAGCAACUACAAGUUUGAUUGUACUUCAAUAACCUAUUGGAGGAAUCAUGAUAUCUUUUGACCAUUUAUUUGUUUUUAUAAUUCAUAAAGGAACAUUAAUUGAUGUAUGCUUUUGACAUUACUUUUUCUGAAUUUUCCUCAUCUAGAACAAUGUUUCUCACCUUAUGUUAUAUGGAAAGGAGUUUGACUUACAUUGAAGUACAUGUUUUGUAGUUUAUUUAUUUGAAAGAAUAGGUUUGGACUCUCGAGAAAGUGGAAUAGCUAGAAAAGGCAAGUAGUUUAUGAUUGAAAAAUUCCUGCAUCUCUGUGUAUUUAAAUCGACCCACAGGAUUAAAGCACGACACUACACGUGAAUGAAGGAAGCAGAUUUUAUAGUCAAGGACAUAAAGAUCAGGUUAAACCCUUACUAUAUAAUGAGGGCUAGGAUGACCUGUUAACUAGAAAGCUUAGCCAAACAUGAUCUUAGAGGAAAGUCUCAAAAUAAUGCAGUUCAACUUUCGCCUGUUCUGUAAGAGUAUUGCAAAAGCAAGAAUCUUUCAUUUUCAUUAUAUGAUCUGUUUCUUUAUCAUUUUUUUUUCCAACUCACUCUUUUCCCUUGUAAUAACAUGUUGGUAGGGUUAUUGCUUGAAGUAAAAAUUGGUCAAAUUGCUGAAAAGAUAUUUUACGAGCCCAUGUAAUUUUGCGCAAUAUGAUAUUUCGGAAAAGAUAUUUAAUUAAAUUGUUAGCUUCACUCUUUUGUUUGGAUUGUGUUGAAUAUUGAUUAUUUAUCUGCAUAGUUAUUGAAUGCAAAAGUCAAAAUAAAUCCUAGCAUUCUUCACUGAGAUUUUGAAGUAAGAAACUUUUUGCUCUUGUAAUGAUUUCGUCAACCAAGUGCUUAUUUGUUUCUCCUUUUAAUUUCAUAUCUUUUGAUAUGGGAUUUGGGGUGGAUUUAAGGCAUAAGAUGGUUACAUGUCAUAGACUCACAUUCAGACACUCGUGUUUUCACGGCAUAUUUCUGUUUCUGCAUGUUAUAAAGAAAAAAUUAUACUGCCAACUUUUUUCUUGUUUCAUUUACUUCGAUCUGCUUCAAAAGCUAUAGAUCUUGCUCGAUGUAUUUUUUUUUUCCGAUUUCUGCCGUCUCCGACUAUAUUCCAUUUCUGGCUGUUUCUUGUACUGUAAUUCUAGCAUAUUUUCAGCUGAUUUUUGCUCUAGCUUGAUCUAGCUGAAUAUGAGAUAUGUCUAAUUUCACGCUGUCUUCCUUUUUUUUUCCGUUCACUUUCAUCCUGAAUAAUUAAUAAUCAUUCAUUGUAGGGAGUAUUUGAAAAUGUAUUUCCUGUUCAAUAAUUUAAUGUAGGCAACAUAUAUAUGCAAUUACAUUUUCUCUAACAGACUUCACAAUUCCAAUCAACUCAGGACUCUUCUCUUCAUUUGCAAGACAAAUAGCUUACAUUUGUUCUUUAACACUUUUGUAUUACACUGAUAAAUUAUAUUAUUUGUUUUAUUAUAAAUGUUUAAAUAUGUUGUAUGUAGGGGGUUUGAUGAAGAUACAGAAGUUAUAAAAAUUGCUAUUCCUAAUGAAAGAACAAUAUUGAAGAAGGAAAAAAAUGACACGAAAUUGGUUAAUUGUUCACCUGCAGCACUUUUCCUGUACUAUUUAAAAUAUAAAUCAUCUUAUAUUGAUAUUUACUUUUUGUUGUACAGAGAAAUUAGUUCAGAGAUCCCUAAUGUCCAAGUAUAGAAUAGCCUUCAAAUUUUUUUACUUCUGGUCAAAUUAAUACAAGUUUGUGUAUUAGACAGAAAAAUGAAAUUCUCUCUGUGUUCUCAUAGGAUUAUAUACAACCAUUUUGAUUAGUGUUUAAUUACUACUAGUACAGUUGCUACUAAUAAUAAAUGAAACAUUUUUACUAUCAUUCUGAAACAGUCUUCGAUUGUGUAUUUUAUCCUAAACAUCACAUAAAUAUUUGUUUACUUUGUAACUGCUACUUCAUGUUUUAUGAAAUAAGUGAAUACAAUAUAAUUGUGUUAAUAGUGUUAACACAUUUAAAACAUAAUCACCUCAAAUUGUGAGUAUAUUGAAGUGUUCCAUUUCUAGAUUAUUGUGGUGGAUCUAAAUGAAGAAACAAGCAUACAAUUUGAACAGCUGCAGGCACUGCCCUUCCUUCAACGGGUUUGACAACAAACUUAUUACCCAGUGUCUAUUUUCAAUGAAUAAUUUCUUUCCAUUCAUAAAUUAAUCUAUGUGAGUAAUAUGCUUGCUAUUAUAAAUAUUUUAGAUUUCCUCUUUUAUAUGUUUAAAUUACCUUUUCAAUAAACCUACAAAUACAUUAUAUUGUUCUCUUUCUACUCUUGUCAAUCCAUGUUUUCCAAACACAUAAGAGACUACAGCAAAGAUUGACUACGCCAUAGCACUGGUUCAAGUAAGCAAAGUUACCCUAAACAGGUAUAUUAGUUAAGUGUCUUCUAAUGAACGACUACAUAAAUUAUUACUUCUUCUGAAUUUUCUUAUGAUUUUCUUUAUAGAUCUUGGGGCUCUCAUAUAUCAAAUCAAAUAUACAACGAAAGAUUCAUUCUCUCAUUAAUAAGUUUGCUGGACGUCGAUUAAGACCACUUGCAGUGGCAUAUCAGGUAAUAUGUUCACUAUUUUGUUGUUAAUUCUACAUCAUAUUAUUAACACCAAGCAUAUGGUUAAAUUAUUUUUCAUUAUAUGAUAACCUUAUUAUUCAAUUGAAAGUUCCUACAGGAAGAAAAUAAAGUGCAGGAGUUCCAUGGCAAUUUAUAGCACUCUUCCAUGUUUUUAAUCCAUCCAAGCACGACAGUGCUGAAACAACCACAACACCUUAGAAUCCUGCUGUAGUGUUAAGAUAAUUAUUGAUGAGUAUAUCUUCAGUUAAAUUUGCAGCAUGUAUAAGAUACAAAGUGAAUCAGACAAAUAUAUAUAUAUAUAUAUAUAUAUAUAUAUAAUAAAUUUACAAUUACAAUGUUACACCUUGUUUUUACUUUUUCAAUUGGCAAGUAAUAGCUUGAUUUGUUAAAACUAUGCUUUCUUGGGUUCUAUUACCUUUCUCUAUUUCUUAAUCAGUUUAAUAUAAUUAUCCACAUAUUGUUUUGUAUUAAAUUUUAAUAUUCCUUAUUUAAUAAUCUUAGCUAGGUCAUCAGCUAGCAAUAGCAAAGAAAACAGGGCAUUGUCUGCGAACAUGUACCAACAUGCAUCCUUCAUCUUCUUUACUACAAAAUAACAUAAACAAAUCAAUUACUG